UACGUAGGUGGCAAGCGUUCCUCGGAAUCACUCGGUGUAAAGCGCAGUUAGGAGGUUGGAUAAGUCUGUUGUGAAAGCUCCCGGCUUAACUGGGAGAGGCCAACGGAAACUAUUCGGCUGGAGUGCGGUAGAGGUAGCUGGAAUUCCCGGUGUAGCGGUGAAAUGCGUAGAUAUCGGGAGGAAUACCUAUGGCGAAAGCAGGCUACUGGACCGUCACUGACUCUGAUCUGCGAAAGCUAGGGGAGCAAACAGG
rnacentral:rRNA from 1 species